AGAGUUUGAUCCUGGCUCAGGAUGAACGCUGCGGUAUGCCUAAUACAUGCAAGUCGUGCGGAAAGGCCUCUUCGGAGGUACUCGAGCGGCGGACGGCAGAGUAACGCGUAGGAACAUACCCCAAACUGAGGGAUAACUGCUCGAAAGAGUAGCUAAUACCGCAUGUGGUCUUCGGACUAAAGCUUCGGCGGUUUGGGAAUGGCCUGCGUUCGAUUAGCUAGUUGGUGAGGUAAUUGCUCACCAAGGCGACGAUCGAUAGCUGGUCUGAGAGGAUGAUCAGCCUGACUGGAACUGAGACACGGUCCAGACUCCUACGGGAGGCAGCAGUAGGGAAUUUUCCACAAUGGGCGAAAGCCUGAUGGAGCAAUACCGCGUGCAGGAUGAAGGCCUUCGGGUCGUAAACUGCUUUUAUGUGAGAAGGAUUUGACGGUAACACAUGAAUAAGGGUCGGCUAACUACGUG
rnacentral:rRNA from 1 species